AUUGCUCGAAGAAUAGCAAAAGGUCGGUCAAGGAUUACCGCUUAGAAAUAUUUGCAUGCAGAAGUUGCCUUUGUUCAUGAUAUGACUAAGCAAAUCGGGAAAGACCUUGGGUCCAUUUUGGUGGCUCGGCCAACCCCUAAUGCCUUAUGGGACUACAAUGCAGUGUACAUCUUUCAUUUGUUUAGUUUAUGAUCAUCCACUUCUGUAUAAAUAUUUGAAUGAAUUUUGAUGAAACUCAAGAAUAUUGUGAAGGGGGCUACAGAUACUUGUUUUAUUGGAGCAUUAAAAAAAGGGGGCUUUUAUAGUGUUAUAUGUGUGGAUGUGGUGGUUCAUAUUAGUGGUGUUUGAAAAAGCUCAUAAUGACCUCUAAUGGUGGCACUAUACUUUGUUGGGUCAAUGAACUUCCAAUUGCUUUGGAAUAUAUCUACAUUAUGCCCACCUUUGCUUUCUGGUUAACCCUUGAUGUG
rnacentral:misc_RNA from 1 species